UUGUAUGAACUAAUCUUGCUUCACUAAAAAAGACCUACAGCUUUGGAAAAAGUCUAUAGCCAGUGCAUUCCUAACUCCCCCUGCACUAGAGCUGGUUGUGGCUAUGGGAAGACAUUUUACUCUCUCACUCUCUGUGUUUUGAAGCUUUUUUAUUUUAUUAAUAUUAGGUAUUGUUUCUGCCUCUGUGCUGUUGCACCUGUUAGGGCUGAGCGUCUGGGAAAAUCUCUGGAUCUAUUUGUGGAUUUAGGCCUCAUGUAAAUGCCUGGCUUUUAAGCAAAGGGUUUCCAUAUCCUUGGUGCUUACAUAAAGAGGACUGUACACGUUCGCGGGCGGCCAAAAAAAGCGCACGGACUCGGAUUUCAAACAGACAUUACUCGCUUGUCUAUGCUUACGAGGAGAAAAUAAACUCGGCGCAACUCUGCUUCCCCUGUGCCCGAAGAAAAGUGAUCAGAAGCGGCGCAGUCGCUUUCCUCGGCUGGGACUGAGGCGCUGAACCGUCCGUUUCCCCCAAAAGCGGCAGCAUUGAGGACAAGACUCAGGCCCAAGCCAACAUGUUGAUUUCUUGAAGAAAUGGCCUUUAGUAGUUCUUAUAAACAACAUACAUCAAAUCUGCACCUAGAUGUUGGCUUCUGCUACAGCUCUUUUACUAUGAAAAAUGUCACAGGGAUCCAAGAUGCUCAGUGGCAACCCAGACGCUCCUCCCACUUUGACCGGAAACCGGCCCGAGAUUGCCAUGAAUUGGGUGGUUUCUCCACAAUGGUUGAAAACGACAGCUGGUGCUCUGACUGAAAUUCCAGAAAGCACUCCACCUUUAAUCUAGCACAGUGUUUCGUUAUCCCAACUUUACUUGAUGAAAUUGCGCAAAAAUUUGGAGGAUAUCAAAAAUGGCUGUUCAGCAUUCAGUCCAAACUGCAACAAAUUUUUUAAAAGGUGUUCAACUUCUGUGACAGCUUCUGAAUAAUAACAACCCUCAUCAGUGAUUACCAAGCAUGUGUGUAGUCCAACCUGUUGGAUGAGUUUGUUUGCACAAGACAUCACAGAUGAGGGUCUUACCCAUUCAUGGCUGAUUGCACACAGAGCGAAACGCAGGUUCCAACGUCAACCACUGAGACACGCAGGUGUGAGCAAUCAGUGCAGAUCAGCAGUAAUCCUCAGACACUGGAAUACUUUCAGCAGAGGCAAACCCAGCUGCAUACUUUCAGAUGAAUGAACUGUGUCAGACCUGGCUACAGGCAGCCGAGCUCUGCCUGCUGCUAAAUAUAUACUCACAAUAAACUGUGAGCAUAACACGUCCUCUGAUUUGUGACAUUAUUGAUCCACCUUUUGUAGUUUAAUUAUUUUUGUCAUUAACAGAAUAACUGAUUAACAUCCCCCAUCAGUGAUAUUUUUUAAGAUUUUUCUAUUUUUGAAAGCUGAGAAUCAAAUUUAGAAAGUAUAUGUUUUUGACAUCAACAUUGGUGAUUUAUCCGGAAAUCCACCACAUUUUUAAUCACUUUAUCAGCUGAUAUCUGUAAUUGUUCCUCAUUUUAAAAUUAAUGGUUAUUGGUGUGGGUGCAAUUAGUGGUCCUCAAUGGUCAUUUCUCACUCUGAGAAGGCAAAAGAAGCUGUUGUAACAAAUGCUUUACCUCAGGACCAAACCACAUGCAUGGCAACUGAACAAAAUGGACACUUGGACAGAGAUGUGAUCAGGAUAUUUUUGACUAAAGCCCCUGUCCCACUUAGGAAACCUGAACGGAAACCUCUGGAGACUUUGCGCCCCACCCAAGGUUUAUGUGCGGUUCCCGGAGGUUGCAGGUGGUUGCCGGAGUUUGCAGGUAGUGGAA